AACAGGAUUUCUUUACGCUCCAUUCAAGAUCAGAUGAAACAGCCUAGAAAAGUAUAACAGCAAGAUCCACAAACUCAAAUCUGGAGUUCUGCAUGACAUGAAGGUCUGAAGAAAUCUUAUUUUAACUCAUGCUUUCUUCAGUUUGUACCCUGCAGGUAUUCCCUAUAGUAGAACAAUGUGGAAGACAAAAAAGCUUAGAGUCAUUUAUAGUCAACACGUGAUCUUUUAAUAGGAUUUUUUAUUCAACCUUACUUACAAUUAAAUCUGCAUAUGACAAAGUGUAAAA